AAUUGCAGUAUUGUCGCACCAAAGUUGCAGUCAAAAUCCCAGAGUGUGUACAUUAGAGAUUUCAAAAAAUCGUUGUAGAAAUCGCAGUGAAAAUUGCAAGUGUAAACAGGCCUUUGUGUGAAGUAAUGUUCACUAAAGCAUAAGCAAGAAUAUAUCAAGUGGAAUCUGUUGAAUUAAUCGCUGUUUUUAUAGUGCGCGUACAAAUACAAACGACAAAUACUAUCGGAUUUCAUAUUAAGUCUAAUACUACUAUAUUUCACUAUAUUUUAGAUAGUAUUUUAAUACGUUUCGCAGUUUUAUAGGCUACGCUUCAAAUUUUGUAUUUGUAUAUUUCGUAUAUGCGAAUAUGCGAUAACACAUCUUUGAUUUGCAAUCACUACAAAUAGUAUUUUAGAACGUUCAUGGCGUGUGCUUCUUAAAGGCAGCAUUUACUACAUUUUAGGUAACCUAGUUAUAUCAAAAUUUUUUACACUGCAUGGCAGCAUGGCAUGAGGUGCAUGUGGCUAGUUUACUGAUAAUAAAAUGUCGUGGUUGUUUCUGAAUUGUGAUUGUGUUAAUAUUUUGCAAUAUUAUAUUACGAGCUUUAAAAGCAAAGUUUAUUGCAUAUAUACUGUAUUAAAAAGAACCCGUAAGGAACUAAGUAUAUAUUUUAUAUAACAAAACUCAUGCAUGAGAAUCGUCUGAACUCUUAUUAUUUAAAGAAAUGUAAGGCCUACUCAAAAAAAAAAAAAAAAAAACGUUGUAAAUUAUGCCUGCACGAAAAGUUUAUUAUAAUUUACUAUCCUAAAUUAAGCUCUUUGAACUCAAGAAACGAACUAAUAUCCGCAUGUAUAGGCACAGGAAAAAAUUCCUGCUCUGCAGCCAAUAGCUUAGGUUACAUAUAUUUACGCUUUCCUAAUGACGUCAAACAUUUGUAUAAUAGCUCAAGUUACCUAUAGGUUAUAACAUCAUAUAACAUUCACCUGAUGAGUGUGGCAAGCUUAUAGUUUGCCAUACGAAACAAAUUUGUCGUGAAUAAAUGUUUUAAAAGAAGUAACUCAAGUUUGUCUUUUAAUUGCUCUACUUUCGUAUCGAGCACUCUAUUCGUAUGAUUCGACACUCAAUAUACUUAUUGACAUUCGCC